GAGAUAUUUAGAAUAUUUUGUUUUAUUUCUGGGGCCCUGAUGUCAAAAAGUCACAUUAUAUAGUGCAUGUAGAAUGAAAACCACAUAUUUUCUAGAUGGAUAGAAUCUAUAGAUAGGUAUCUAAUGGUUCUUAUCUCAUUUGAUUGACAUGAAUGUUAGUGUGAAAUACGUUUUGAUAGACAAAGGAAACUGGGGUUCCCAACUUCCUGAAUAACCAUCUCAGCCUACCAGUAUGUUGGGCCAAGUGUUCCCCUCUAGGCUCUUAGGGACAAUGAUGGGCCAAAAGAAAUAGGAUGGAGAAGCAUUAAUACUCGACAAUUCACUAUUUCAGGUUCUGUCACUUUGAUGGAAGUAGGGAAAUCAUGACUAAUUUUUACUACUUCAAAACAUUGAUGGAUGUAGGCUUCAGAAUUGGUUCUUAUGAUUCCCUUCACACGAAAUUUGUUGGGCAUGUAGGUGUAUUUGUUACUCAUCUUAUAGAGUAAAAAAGAAUUGGUUCUUAUGGUUCUUAUGAUUCACAUGGUAACAAAGAAUUGUAAGAUAAAUGAGGUCGCCUCACAACUAUUUGUAUUUGUUGUAUCUUUGAGUUAACUAAUUUAUAUUGGAAUAUUUCACUUCAAGUGUGACACUAACUUCCAUAUAUAUAUAUAU
rnacentral:lncRNA from 1 species